rnacentral:misc_RNA from 1 species
GAAAUGCGAUAAGUAAUGUGAAUUGCAGAAUUCAGUGAAUCAUCGAAUCUUUGAACACACAUUGCGCCCGCCAGUAUUCUGGCGGGCAUGCCUGUUCGAGCGUCAUUUCAACCAUCAAGCCCCCGGCUUGUGUUGGGGACCUGCGGCUGCCCGCAGGCCCUGAAAACCAGUGGCGGGCUCGCUGUCACACCGAGCGUAGUAGCAUACAUCUCGCUCAGGGCGUGCUGCGGGUUCCGGCCGUUAAAAGCCUUUUUUACCCAAGGUUGACCUCGGAUCAGGUAGGAAGACCCGCUGAACUUAAGC